rnacentral:rRNA from 1 species
UACGUAGGCAGCGAGCGUUGUUCGGAUUCAUUGGGCGUAAAGGGUGUGUAGGUGGCGCGCUAAGUCGGGUGUGAAAUUUCGGAGCUUAACUCCGAAACUGCAUUCGAUACUGGCGUGCUUGAGGACUGGAGAGGAGACUGGAAUUCAUGGUGUAGCAGUGAAAUGCGUAGAGAUCAUGAGGAAGACCAGUGGCGAAGGCGGGUCUCUGGGCCAUAACUGACGCUGAGAAGCGAAAGCAUGGGGAGCGAACAGG